CCUACGGGAGGCAGCAGUGAGGAAUAUUGGUCAAUGGACGCAAGUCUGAACCAGCCAUGCCGCGUGCAGGAAGACGGCUCUAUGAGUUGUAAACUGCUUUUGUACGAGGGUAAACGCAGAUACGUGUAACUGUCUGAAAGUAUCGUACGAAUAAGGAUAGGCUAACUCCGUGCCAGCAGCCGCGGUAAUAUGGAGGAUUCAAGCGUUAUCCGGAUUUAUUGGGUUGAAAGGGUGCGUAGGCGGUCGGAUAAGUUAGAUGUGAAAUCCCGAGGCUCAACUUCGGAAUUGCCUCUGUUACUGUUCGGCUAGAGAGUAGUUGCGGUAGGCGGAAUGUAUGGUGUAGCAGUGAAAUGCUUAGAGAUCAUACAGAACACCGAUUGCGAAGGCAGCUUACCAAGCUACUUCUGACGUUGAGGCACGAAAGCGUGGGGAGCAAACAGGAUUAGAUACCCGAGUAGUC
rnacentral:rRNA from 1 species